CCUACGGGAGGCAGCAGUGAGGAAUAUUGGUCAAUGGUCGGGAGACUGAACCAGCCAAGCCGCGUGAGGGAGGACGGUCCAGAGUAUCGUAAACCUCUUUUGUCAGGGAACAAAGGCGCGGACGUGUCCCCGGAUGAGUGUACCCGAAGAAAAAGCAUCGGCUAACUCCGUGCCAGCAGCCGCGGUAAUACGGAGGAUGCGAGCGUUAUCCGGAUUUAUUGGGUUUAAAGGGUGCGUAGGCGGUCAGUCAAGUCAGCGGUAAAAGUGCGGGGCUCAACCCCGGACCGCCGUUGAAACUGGCAGUCUUGAGUUGGAGAGAAGUAUGCGGAAUGCGCGGUGUAGUGGUGAAAUACAUAGAUAUCGCGCAGAACUCCGAUUGCGAAGGCAGCAUGCCGGCUCCACACUGACGCUGAGGCACGAAAGCGUGGGUAUCGAACAGGAUUAGAUACCCGUGUAGUC
rnacentral:rRNA from 1 species